AACGAACGCUGGCGGCAGGCUUAACACAUGCAAGUCGAGCGCCCCGCAAGGGGAGCGGCAGACGGGUGAGUAACACGUGGGAAUCUACCCAUCCCUACGGAACAACUCCGGGAAACUGGAGCUAAUACCGUAUACGCCCUUCGGGGGAAAGAUUUAUCGGGGAUGGAUGAGCCCGCGUUGGAUUAGCUAGUUGGUGGGGUAAAGGCCUACCAAGGCGACGAUCCAUAGCUGGUCUGAGAGGAUGAUCAGCCACAUUGGGACUGAGACACGGCCCAAACUCCUACGGGAGGCAGCAGUGGGGAAUAUUGGACAAGAGGGGAAACCCUGAUCCAGCAAGGCCGCGUGAAUGAAGAAGGCCGUAGGGUUGUAAAAUUCUUUUGUUCGUGACGAUAAUGACGGUAGCGGACGAAUAAGCCCUGGCUAACUCUGUGCCAGCCGCCGCCGUAA
rnacentral:rRNA from 1 species